UACAGAGGGGGCAAGCGUUGUCCGGAAUUAUUGGGCGUAAAGAGCUCGUAGGCGGUCUGUUGCGUCGGCUGUGAAAACCCGGGGCUCAACCCCGGGCCUGCAGCCGAUACGGGCAGACUAGAGUUCGGCAGGGGAGACUGGAAUUCCUGGUGUAGCGGUGAAAUGCGCAGAUAUCAGGAGGAACACCGGUGGCGAAGGCGGGUCUCUGGGCCGUAACUGACGCUGAGGAGCGAAAGCAUGGGGAGCGAACAGG
rnacentral:rRNA from 1 species